AUACGGAGGAUCCGAGCGUUAUCCGGAUUUAUUGGGUUUAAAGGGUGCGCAGGCGGCCAUUUAAGUCAGCGGUUAAAUCGUGGGGCUCAACCCCAUUCUGCCGUUGAUACUGGGUGGCUUGAUUGCGGUCGAGGUUGGCGGAAUUCGUUGUGUAGCGGGUAAAUGCAUAGAUAUGACGAAGAACACCGAUUGCGUAGGCAGCUGACCAGACCGCAAAUGACGCUCAUGCACGAAAGUGCGGGGAUCGAACAGGAUUAGAUACCCUGGUAGUCCGCACAGUAAACGAUGAAUACUUGUUUUCGGCGAUAUAAUGUCGGAGGCAAAGCGAAAGCGAUAAGUAUUCCACCUGGGGAGUACGCCGGCAACGGUGAAACUUAAAGGAAUUGACGGGG
rnacentral:rRNA from 1 species